GGGGAGUUAAUAUAUUCCUUAAACACUUUCUUAUUCUUCUUUGCAACAAAUAUGUACAUAAAAGCAAGAGAAGGUCUUCUAUGUUAUGCAGCAAUGUCAUAUUCUGGUGUUUUCUGCAAAAAUAAUAAUGAUAAUAAUAAAAUAAAAAAAAUGAAAAAGAGGGAGAGAGAGGAUGAGAGUUAUAAUCACAAAAAUUGUUCAGAUGUAAUCAAAAAAUCAGAAAAGAUCAUUUUACAGUUCAGAGUAUUUAUUCUAUUACAUUGCAGUAAAGAGAUUGACAUCCUCAACUCAAAUUCCUCUUUGCUUUCUUUUCUUUUGUACUUUUUUUUUUCCUUAGUUUAAACAUGAGUUAUUUGGAAAUUCUAGUUUUUCUCCUAAACUCAUUCAUGUUUCCCUCAAAUGGUGAGUACGUUUAUGUCAUUGGGCCAAUUCAUACCAGCAGAGCAGUUUGAAUUUUACCAGUGACAUUUUGACAGCUGAAGCCUACAUUUUCAAUUUACUGGGUUCUGUAUCUCUCCUGUUUACUGCUACUUCACAAGAGAAUGAAAUUUUAUAAAUACCUAGUAAUUUAGUUUGAAUAAGGAGCUAGAAUAUUAACAAAGGAGUGCUUUUUUAAGGUUUGGCAUUCAGAUAUAAAACAGAUGUUUAUUGUGCUUUUUAAGCAUCCAGGAGAUCUUGUCAAAAGUGUCUGGCAUGUACAGUUAUUUUUAUGUUACAUGGAAGUGUAUAUUAUUCUUCAUUUUCAUGUAUUAACUCAUGUAUAUUAUUUCAUAAAUGAAUUUGGCUUUCUUAUUAUGAAAUAAUACUUUUGGUAAUUAUCUACGCUCUGCAUAUAAAUGUGCUCUACAAAGGUGUUUGGAUUAAAGAUGUCUGGCUACAGCUUUAUUAGACAAACUGCUAAUUAAUCUCAAAUAUUAUCUAGCAUGCCAAAGGCAUUCCUUUUGUAGACAUUGUGAGUUUAUCUAUGGAAUCUCUUCAUCAGUCACUUGGGCUUUCUUACCUCUAGUAUGCCAAACCUGUUUUAAUUGUUUCCCCAUACAGAGCAUAGGGUGUAAUAAUGCAACUGCAACCGAGAACUGAAGUCUUGCAGCUUACAUUGGCGAAUCACAUUAGCUGUCUGGAUGGGUCCUAUUGUCCUCAUCUUGUGGUAUGCAGAUCUCACCUUUAAAGCUGCAUCUAAGAAAAACAAAACAAGAUUGCCUUGUUAAUGACCAUUUUUUUCUUGUGAUAUCAAUCCUUUCCAAGUAUCAAUCUUAAAAGAACCUUCUUUGUUAAAAAGGUAAAGCUCCAGGAGUAGCAGCCAUUCCCACCAAAAUGUUCCUAAUAGAUUCUGCAGUCCACCAGUUCCUGAGGUCUUGUCUCAGCAAUUCUGAAUAAGGACUGACAAAAACAAGAGGGCUUAAUGCUUAAAAUUUCUCGGAAGACAGAGUUUAUAGCUGGGCUAAUCAUUUUGCAUGCUAGUCACAAUCUUAGUCAAAUUUUGCCCUCAUUUAUGUUAGUUUGGAUCUAGGGCAUGACUGUUAAUAAUUUUGACUUCAAUAAUGAAUGAGCAAAUAAAAUUCUGAAUUUUGACCUAUUUUACUUUAUGACACCAUUUUUUUCUCUUUAAUCUUACCUGUUUUGUCUUAAUAUAGAUCUUCUCUCUCUUUUUUUUUUUUUUUAUCAUCCAGCUAGUCCUCUGUGCAGCUCCUUUCUCCUCUUUUUCAGUUUUUGUUUUCCUCAGACCUUUUCCCUCAUUCUUCUAAUGAAAAUGGUCUUAGCCAAAAGUAGUUGAAAAGGUGUUUUUCCUGGACUAAGAACGAGUUUACAUAUGAGAGACAGAAUACUUCUCUCUGUGUAUUCUGAUUCCAAAGUAAAAAAUUCUAAUUAUAGAGUGGUUAAUUAAGCAAAAGGAACAAUUAUAAAUGAGCCUAAAUUUAGAAUUAUGAGUUUGAAGUCAAAGACCACUGAAGACCAUGAGAAUACUUCCAUUGACUUCAAAAGGAUCUGAAGCACACUGUCUUACCUUUCUGUUUAGCACAACUUUAGGUUAGGGCUACUUUAACAACCUAAUGAAACUCCCUUGAAGGUUAAGCCAGCCUUUAUUUUCAAAGGGAAGCUUGACAAAUUUUGCCAGACUCUGAAGCUUUUAAUUGAAACACUGGGAAAUUUCAAAGUGACAACUACUUUAGGACUUCUUUUAUUUCUAUUUUUCUUCUUGGGCAGAUCAAGUAAAAGAAAAAAGAAUAUUUUUGCAAGCUUUUAUUUUAUUCACAUACCCAUCCAAACUCCUUUCACAGACAGAAAAAAAUAUAUAUAUUACUUUGACCGCCUUCCUAUCUUAUGCAGAAACAAAGUUAUCUUGUUCUUAGUGUAAUAACAUCUGCUAUCUUUAAAAAAAUGAUUACCAGUUAUAUUUUCCCUGUGAUUAUUUUGCUUAGCAGAAAUGUAUACAGGAAUACCUUUAAAAGACUUCAAAAUCAGUCUGUAAUUACAAUAUUUUAAGCUAAUUUGUUGAAAAAUUUUUUGCUCUGAUUUGCUAUAGAGUUUUCAGGCCUAGGUAUGAUCCACUUUUGACUCAUUUGCUGUACCACAUGUAUGGCGGAGUUUGCUGCUUGCAAGAAAUACCUAAUUUUUAUUUUAUUUUAUUUUUGGGCUUUGUGCUCCAGAGACGUCAGAAUUUUUCAAUGCUUCACAGGGAAUGGACAUUGUGAAAAAAUACUGGCUUGAAGCAAUACGAUAUUAUACUGCCAAAGCACAAUUGACAGAGGUGCUGCCUGUUUUCUUCUCUACCAUAAACAGAUUUCCUCUCCAGAGUUAUGUCUGUGUGUGUGUUGUGUGUGUGCAUGCUAUUCUUUAAAAAUCUGUGGUAGGGCACCUAAGAAAUAAUGGGGAUUUUUAUCCUUCUGCUUCUUCUUCCUUCAGCAAUCAGCAUGAGAUGGUGGUCCACGUCUUUGAACUUUGUUGUAAGAUGUGUAUAUGAAUCUCAUAUAUGGAAAUAUAUAUAAAUGUAAAAUUUCUAUGCAGUAAAAAGUAUUGGUGUUUAUAUACAUAUAGUUACGUAUAUUUUUACCUAUUUUCUAGCUUUGAUCAGGCUUUAAAAACACUGUCUUUGUUUAUACUCUCUUCAUCCUAUGUGCCGAUUCACUAUUUUCUUAAAUCCAGAAGCAAAACUGUGAGUUGUUUUCUCAUCCCAGUUUACAGCAUUUGGCAAAAUGUAGGUUUCUUCUCCAGAAAAACUGCACAAAAAUUCAGUGCUUUGCCAGAAUCUCUAAAGUGCCUGUUAAAUACUUAACAAAAGACUUGUUUUGACAAAGGAAUAUCACCCUUAAUUGUCAAAUUUGUUCCAAAAAAAAAAAAAAAAGCAAAAAACCUGGGAGAAGAUGACUGGGAGAAGAUGACUAUUUUCAGUCAGCAGUCAGGCCUUUGAAAACUUAAUUGUGGGCAGUUAGAGCUAAAUGCUGCAUUUUUGUCUUAUCAGUCACCAUUUCAUGGAUUUUAUUGUUUUCCAGAGUUGCUAGCUUUCAGUACUUUAAACGUAAUUUUUGACAUGUGGGGAAGAUGGACGUGACAGCACAGUGUUUGGAAAGAGAACUGCUGAGCUGAUUUCCUCAUGGUGUGUGCUGGCAUACCUCUUUUCAUACUCUUCCGCAAUGCCUUCAGACGAUUGUCUCAGUUAAGCUUUGUGACUUUUGGCAUGAAUUUUACCAGCUCCAAGAAGGAAGAGAAUGUUGCACAUUUUCUCUAAGCCAAGUCAGGAGGAGAAAGAAGAGGAAAAAGACUGCCUUCAAUCUUUCUGCUGGAGCUGAUGCUAUAUACUUUCUUGUGGAAAAAAGUUGUGUGAAAAAAUAAUCUGUAAGUGUGAAUGGCACGAAAAUGGAAUUAUCCAUCAAAUGGAGGGAGUGAUUCCUCCAAGUCAGGUAUGUAAGUUUGGGUGGCAAAAGCAAAUGGCUUCAUAAUUUUGAGGAAUUUCUCUCCCUCUCCUUCUCCCAUGACUGAAGAUCAUUUAUCCUUUGAGAAAGAAAAAGAAGGCUGGUAUAAAUUAAGAAUGGUAAUGUAAAAGCUUAUACCCACUGCAUAUAAAUCUUUCAAAUUAAUACAAGCAUUAAAUUGCCAAAGUUUUUUCCAUAUACUGCAAAUAUUAAACAUGACAUGCCUGCUAGGGUUGGUAUAAAGUUUUGUCAACAUUUUUGGCAUACAGUUUCUCAGCCUGGGGUCAAUAUUUUCUUGACCAAAUCUUGUUGUUUCAGUUGUCUUUUACCUCAUAUAUUGUAACGCAAACAUUUCCCAGAAAAAAGAAAUUUGGCAGGCUAUUAGUCCAUAAUGUGGUCUAAUGCCUUUGGGUAUUUUUUUAAACGUAAAUCAUUGAGAUAUUUAAGGUUUGAGGUUUAAGAACUGUACACAAACUUUAACAACUUCUUUUAAAAAUAUUUAGUAUGCAUAUUUACUACAUAUGUAUCUUAUAUAGACUAGAGAUUAAACUGGAGAUUACUUGCUAAAAUAUGCAAACUGCUGUCCAUGAAUAAACAUCCUCAUGAACUCCUAUUGAAAGUUUCUUAUUUAAAAAAUGUUGUUUAAAACUACAAUGAAAGCAAAGGGAAGUAAGAUGGGAAGAGGAAAAAAGCAAUGUUUAAGUAACUUUAAUGAUUUAACUUGGCUACAGAAAGUAAAGAAGUUCAUUUUCUUUCUCCUGGGAUCUCAUCCAAAGCCCACUAUGGUCAAAAGAAGGCUUUCCACCUAUUCUCAUUUGUGCUACACUCAGACAGUGCUCUGUUGCUCAAGUAUUGAGCUAUGCUGAUGUCAUGUAGCAGAAGAUCCCGCAGCACAGCAGCCCACCUAUCUGCCAUGUGUAUUACAUAGGUUUCAAGGUAAGUUACUUGAGGCAAAGGACCUCUCCUCUGGAUCAUCCUUCCUGUAUCUGCAAAGUUCAGUGAGUUUUCCACUUUUGCCUUGAUAUAUCUGUGUCUACCAGUUAUUCAUUAUAACUCUCACUUAAAGAGGAAAAUUUUAGAAUCCUGCAAAUGUACAAAUGUCUCACCAUGUAUGUGCACGUGACAGUUCUAGGUAUCACAUAGCAUCCACCAGCCUGAGAGUUAUCUCAUUUAUAACGUCAUUUCAACUUUCACUGUAACAUAAGUCCAGGAAUACAUUUUGUAGUUUCUUUUAGGUAUGAAUGACAGGAUUUGUGUAAUCAAUGAACUCUGGCACAAUAACAUGCAAUAUUCUUUAGAAUGCAAUUCCUGCAGCUUGUAGACAAUCUGUUCCUUAUGGUGAUUUCUGGGAGCUUGUAAACUCUCACUAAGAUGCUGGCAACAUCCACCAAGCGUCUCAGACACUUUGUCUUUCUGAACCUGAACUUUUUAAAUAGUGGUUAAACAUGUUGUCUGCUUUAGUUUCCUGUCUAUCUUCAUCAUAAGUCAGCACCUGUUUCCAAUAAAUUAUAUGCAGAGCUGUAUCAGCAACACCUUGGCAGCAGCUGCCACCCUGAAAAGCAGAAUGCCCUUGAGGACAAUACACCUGUGAACACAUAAAGUGUUUAUUUAACUGAAAGCCAAAACUUUAAGUUACAUAAAGCAAUUAUCCAAAGCCUAAUAUAUGCUCAUUAUUAACACAAAAUAACCUUGUUCUUAAAAAAAAAAAUGAUAAUCUAUUUAAAGGAUUUUUUUCCAAAACCCAGGGAAAUGGACUGGCACUGUGAAUCUGCUAUUAGCCUAGGACUUGAAAGUCUGAUGGUGGGAAGACGUGUGGGGGAGGCUGCCUGUGCAGAGUAACAAAGUAUUAGGGCACAGAUUUGGCAUGCAUUAUACACAGAGAUGAGAGAAAGAGCCAAGUCAUUUUCAGAGAGGCUGUUGAACAACACAUUUUUUCUUUUUGGUUCUGCAUUAUAAAGUAGCAUUUUGUUGCUGAAGCAUAGAACUACUGUGUUUAAGAUGGUGUUUGAUCUUACCAUCACUGUGAGGCAGAAGGAAAAAAUGGUCCUGGGAAAAAGGUCUUCCUAUUACUAGAGCAAACCUUUCAUAUCUAGUUUACUACCAGCGCUGCCCUUUUAUGUAACAGUGAGCCUAUUUUAGCAGCAGUAAGUAAAGAUAGUUGUUUUCAGCAGAUCACAGGAUAAUGCAAACAAAAAGAAAGCUAAUGAUUAAAAUAGAAUAGAAAUUGAGAUAAGCUCUCUAGUUUUGGUAAAGCAAGAAAUAACACAAGGAACUCUGUAGUUCAAGUAAUUUGUAAAUUUUCAUUUCUGUAUGGAUACUUCUAAAAUUAUUUGGCAAAUCAAUCUUGGAAAUCACAUAAAUGGAAAGAUAUUUUCUAAUUAAUGUUUCCAAAAUUAACACUGAACAUGAAAAUAUAUGUGUGCAUAUAUGUAUAUAUUUCUGUAUAAAUGCUCAUAAAAUGGUCACAUUUUUAACUCACAUUUUACAAUACAUUAAUUCCCUGUCUGAUGCUUUCUUAUGCCAUUUAAGUGAAAUACUUUCAGAUGAGAACAUAUUUUAAUACUUGUGUUUGGUGAGACCAGAAAGUUGUGGAAGGAUUUCUUAAGGAGUAUCACAGCUUUCUUAGGUGUCACUUUCUUAAACGCUUACAAUGCUGAAUGCAAAUAUAUGUAGAGUGAUGCCAGCAUGUAAAUAUUCUCCCAUCAAUUAUUUUGUACAGUUAGAUCCAGUGGGUUACUCUAUGUGCAAAAUAAAACUCUGAGAGAAUAACAUUAGCAUAACUCCAUGAUACAUGCCUUCUCUUUCAAACAGGAUUCCACACGUAGAUAAUGGAAGUAACUUAUUUUGUUUCAUAUUUUAUUAUCAGAUAGUUCAAAGUUUAACAUAGCAAUAUUUUUUCCAGUUGAGUUUUUUAAAACUGCUCUAUUUUCAUCUCUGAAUGAGCAUGGUACGUUUUAGAGAUCCAAGCUAAAACAUAUGGAUUAAGUCAAUGAAUCCAUUUCUAAAUCUCCAAUUAACUGUUCUGAUUACUCAUGCAAAUCUAUAUUUUUGCCAGGAUUUUUUUAUGUCUUUAAUACAUAGGCCAUUCCAGAAGUCAUAUCUCCUAUUUAUUUCCAUGGAUGUUACAACAGAUACAAUAACACUCAACAAGAUACUAUUUUUUAGCAUAGUCACUACAUAGUUUUGCAUUUUUACCAGAAACAUUCAGCAAGCGUUGACGUAUGUCAAUUGGCGCCAUUUUUUCCUCAUGGAGGAAUUCACUUCCAGCCCUUUGCUUCAGACACACCUCCUUCUCAGACGCCAUUUUGUCAGACUGCCUCUCUGCUGUCAUCUGUCACACAGCAACAGUGUGUAACAAUAUUGGUGGGAAGUUCCGCCUCCGCUGCCAUCCCACUUAUAUCAGCCUCUGAUGCCAUGGGCCAACAUCAUAAAAUAGGAGACAUUACUUUUGGAGCAGCCCUCCAAGUAAAUUUAAGAGGAGUGCAUUUUCUUCUCCUAAUGUGUAUGAUAAUAUAACAGAAUGAUUGAUGUCAUGUAUAGAUACAGACCUGCUUCGAUUUCAGUUUUCUUGGCUGUGUUUGAUUAUAAUUUGAUAUAAAUGCUGUAAGCAUCCAGCUAGGAUUCCAACUAAAAGGAAAUUCAGUGACAGCAAUAAUAACAAUAAUAAUAAAAACACUAUUUAUUUUCCCCUGGAGUGUUUAGCUUUUAUUAAAUGUCAACAAAUCUAAAGACGUGCUUUGCUAAUCUAUGUUGCGUACAGGAAGUAAGUUACAAGCACAAGUUACUGAAGAUAAUGUUUGCUUUGUUUUAGAUAGACAGGAUCCAGAGAACUGAGAUCUCUCACAAGCAUUUAAAAUCUACCGCUUGUAUUCCUUCAACAUUUGUCAGAUCUCCCACUGGUGAUCAAAGAAUGCCAAACUGAAAGCAGACCUAUAUUUGUGAUUGUUUGCUACCCUCUGCGAUAAGUUUAUCCAUCAGUUUCUUUCCUGUUGACUUUCAUGUGCGCUAUCACCCCAGGAUGUUAUAUUUGCUCAAACAGAAAAUGGAAUUACAAGCAGAAGAAGCCGCUGCAUGGAAGGUCUGCUGCUGUGCUGCCCGCUGGAGACUUGCCUUGCGGUGAGGGCUACAGACACAAAAACAGCUUGGCACUGGGAGCUCCAUCUUGCUGUGGCAUAAGCUGGCUUCCUGCUGACUCCAGAUCUGCCUUCACACAGGUUGCUCUAGAUUGAGAUGAUAGAGUGGAGGCAAGUACUGUGCACUGGACUAGAGAAGUGUGUCAGCCAUAAAGGACAGCACACAGCAGCUAUGCUUUGUCUGGCACAGCAUUUUGUAGGGUUAAAAGGGAGUGACUGGAGUGUAGGGCCAUGCCAGCCAGUUUAGUCUCACCCAAGAGGUCCCAGAUUUGGUUCAAUGUGGUGAUGAAACUGCUGAGACUUUAUAAAUCCAGACUUACUUAAGGAGGGAUUGACAGAGCAAACUAUGACUAGGUUUUGUCACAGCAACCUAUAUGUCCAGAAUGGAAGUGCUAAGCCAACACUAGGAGGAGCAUAGAGCUGUGGACCCCUGUUUGCCUUUCAACUACAACUUUCUUGCAUUGCAGUUUCUUCUACACAUCUCCGGUUUCACAUGAUAUAAUAUUUGGCCCAGUAAAUGCAAGGCUUGGGUUUGGUCUCUAGUCAGAUGGUACCCAAAAAUAAGCAUCAAAAUAUCCACCGCUUAUUAAAAAGUCAAGAAGAAGAAAGAACAGACACAAAAUACAGUUUAGUCACCAUAAAGAAACCACCACCAAAAAGGCUGGGUAUGUAUCAGAUCAUCUUUUUGCAGAACAUUUCUUCUGAGAUAUAUGAAGGUGGGAAGACAGCCACUGGUAGAAUUUCCCCUGUUGCAAUGCCUCUUUAUUAUUUCAUUAAAAUCCUUGUAAUACACAAAACAAUAAAAGAAAGCAACUUGAAAGUUCACAAUACACAAGAUUCAUCUUGCAUUCAUAGAACGUGUGUAACUCAUUUUGUGCUGAUGUUUGCUUGUUUAAGAAUGCACACCUGCUCAUUACUACUUGUGGAAAAUAAGUUUAUUAGCCAAGGAAUGUCUGGACUCUUACUGGAAAUCCCAUGUAGAUGCAGUUAUGCUUCCUGUUAAGACUCUUCUUCAGUAAAAAAUUUGCUCCCACUGUAGUAUUCCAGGGGCAAAAGAAGCAGCAAAUGAUAUGCAGGAAAGAUGCAGGUAAAAAUAUUCACAGAGAUUAAAAACGCUCCAUGCCUGAUCCUGAUGAUUCAGUGCAUCUUUCCCUGUUGAAUGUAAGUAUUCUGUUUCAUACUACAUUUAUGUCAGAUCAAAUACUCUACUCAGAAGCUGGGACUUUACUAGUGCCUCAUUUGUAUUUGUUUUUACUUUGAAUCAAAACAUAAAGGUGGUGACAGAAAAAAUUCUGAUGCUUUGCAUAGGGUUAAUAAUUGAGAGCCAUUCAGCUUUGUUAGUCAUCCAUUUGAAGGGAAUUUCCUUAUGCAAAGAGAUUGCUCCACUUAGGACAAAACCAUUUUUUUUCUUCAUCUCUGAACUCCAAAUGAGCAGGAGAGUGGAAAGAGCAAGGGAAGGCAAAGGAGCAAAGUGGGAAGCUUUGAUCGUUUCACCGAGAGGCUGAGGCAGUUUGAAAUGAAAGAAUCUCUCACCACAUUAAAAAAGGAGGGAGAAGAAGAAAGGAGAAAGGAAGAAAAAGAAGGAGAAACAGAGAGCACAGUGUGACAGAAACAAUGUGAAGCAGGAGCCCAAGCCUCACAGGAAGGGUUGUUGCCAGACUCUACAGAAGCUUUUUUGCAAAAAGUAGAGAAGGGGCAUCUUAGUUUCUUUAACAGACUCCAUAAAACCAAUGAAUUGCCAAGAGAAGCAAAGAAAUAACAGGAAGAAAAUGUAUUCAGGUGACUUUCACUUUGCCUUGCUCGUUGCAUCUUUUGUGCAAUCUAGAUGAUAAAAUAAUUGAGUCUAAUCAGCCUGCAGCUAUAGAAAAGCUUGUGUCAAAGCUAUCAGGCAAGCUGCAAGAGGAACACUCCCCCAAAGUCUUAAGGGGUAGGCCUGAGAGAUCCUAUUUCACAGUGGAGAGCCAUACCCUGGGUGUGUGAGGGCUUUGCAGCCCACUUGGUUCAGGGUGAACUUAACAGAAAAGGCAUCAAACAGAAACUGGUUCAAAACUCAUGUGGAGCAGGUCUGCUAAUGCUGUGUCUCCAUUUUGAAAUGAGCAGAAAAUUAAUAACUAUAAUCUGUGGAUGUAAUUUUGUCAUUACCAGUUUGACUGGUACUUUAUUCCAGCCCAACUAAAUGAAUAGGACUUCCUGCUGGUCAAAGUGCUACUACACUUGAGUCAGGAUCUACUACCCUUAUUGCAGCCUGAUUUUCUUCGCUUUAAUCUUUUAAGUUAUAAUGCCUACAACACCUGCUAGUAAGCACCCUGUUGGCAGGCCAACAAAUAGAGGUGGGUAUACCAGAAAGCAAGUCUAUCUGUGCCUGGACUGUUGACAGAGAUCCUAAUGGACUAUGAGUACACAACCCAAACACACUAAUAUGUGAGCAUUUUUCCUGGCAGUAUGUAUUUAAACAUGAAAAAUCUGUGAUUUGCUGAUGGCCAAUAAAACAGGAAACCUGAACCCUUCUUAAUUUGCAGAAAGAUUAUUCUUUGCAAAAUAAUUAUUACUACAUAUGUGAUGAUUAGUAUGCUUUUAUUUUUGCUAGAAUAGGCAUAGCAUAAUGGAAACCUCUACUGUGAUAAUUUCUGUUUAAAGAACUGCAGCAUGUAAGUUAUUAUAAACAGUGUAUUAAUUCAAUGCCUGAAUAACUAUCAUCUUUUUUUCCCCCCAACAGCAGUCACUAUUCAGACAUUUGAAUGAUAGAAACCACACCUAUCCACUGUAAUUUAUUUCAGUGAUUUUCAACAAGAUGUUCU
ensembl:lncRNA